AAGUCGUAACAAGGUUUCCGUAGGUGAACCUGCGGAAGGAUCAUUAACAAAUCUAUGAGCGAAAGCUCAUCAACCUUUGUGAAUUGGGUUGUAUAGUUGGUAACAAAUAUACAAUUUCGUUGGGGUCCCUUUGUGUAAUAGAAAGAUUAUUUCUAAAGAUUUUCUGAAGAUUAUUUCUAAAGAAUAUUUCUAAAGAAUAUUUUGAAAGUUUUAAUUUUUUCUAUUGCAUAUAUAUUAACAUUGUCUGAUUAUAGAUUGAAGUCGUAAGAUUUCAAAUAAAAAUACAACUUUUAACAAUGGAUCUCUAGGCUCUU
rnacentral:misc_RNA from 1 species